GCAUCAUUGGUCUAGUGGUAGAAUCCAUCGUUGCCAUGACUUUCGAGUCACCGAGUCUCGAUGGGGCCCGUGUUCGAUUCACGGAUGAUGCA